UACGUAGGCAGCGAGCGUUGUUCGGAGUUACUGGGCGUAAAGCGUGCGUAGGCGGUGUCUUAAGUUUGUUGUGAAAUCUCCCGGCUUAACCGGGAGGGUGCGGCGAAUACUGAGAUGCUGGAGUGCCGGAGAGGUAAGCGGAAUUCCUGGUGUAGCGGUGAAAUGCGUAGAUAUCGUAAGGAAGACCAGUGGCGAAGGCGGGUCUCUGGACAGUUCCUGACGCUGAGGCACGAAGGUCAGGGGAGCAAACGGGG
rnacentral:rRNA from 1 species